rnacentral:rRNA from 1 species
AGAGUGAACGCUGGCGGUAGGCCUAACACAUGCAAGUCGAACGGCAGCACAGUAGGAGCUUGCUCUUACGGGUGGCGAGUGGCGGACGGGUGAGGAAUACAUCGGAAUCUACCUUUUGGUGGGGGAUAACGUAGGGAAACUUACGCUAAUACCGCAUACGCCCUUCGGGGGAAAGCCGGGGACCAGCAAUGGCCUGGCGCUGAUAGAUGAGCCGAUGUCGGAUUAGCUAGUUGGUGAGGUAAUGGCUCACCAAGGCGACGAUCCGUAGCUGGUCUGAGAGGAUGAUCAGCCACACUGGAACUGAGACACGGCCCAGACCU